rnacentral:rRNA from 1 species
GAUGAACGCUGGCGGCGUGCUUAACACAUGCGAGUCGAACGAAACACCUUAUUUGAUUUUCUUCGGAACUGACGAUUUGGUGAUUGAGUGGCGGACGGGUGAGAACGCGGGGGUAACCUGGCCUGUACAGGGGGAUAAAAAUUAGAAAAGACUGCUAAUUCCGCCAUAAGACCCAGGACCGGAUGGGGCAGGGGGAAAAACUCCGGUGGUACAGGAUGGACCCGCGUCUGAUUAGCUGGUUGGUGAGGUAACGGCUCACCAAGGCGACGAUCAGUAGCCGGCUUGAGAGAGUGAACGGCCACAUUGGGACUGAGACACGGCCCAAACUCCUACGGGAGGCAGCAGUGGGGAAUAUUGCACAAUGGGGGAAACCCUGAUGCAGCGACGCCGCGUGAGUGAAGAAGUAUUUCGGUAUGUAAAGCUCUAUCAGCAGGGAAGAAAAUGACGGUACCUGACUAAGAAGCCCCGGCUAACUACGUG